ensembl:snoRNA LOC120096397 small nucleolar RNA SNORA17
CCUGGCCCUAGAAGCAUUGCAGGUGUGGCUGUGACACAAGUGCAUUAGUAGGUGGCAGAAAGGAGAUAGGCUACGUCUGUGCUCAGUGUUCUGACCCGUAAAUAUGUGAAUGAUUUGUGGCUUAACUUG